rnacentral:rRNA from 1 species
GAUGAACGCUAGCGACAGGCCUAACACAUGCAAGUCGAGGGGCAGCAUGAAAUUAGCUUGCUAAUUUUGAUGGCGACCGGCGCACGGGUGAGUAACACGUAUGCAACCUGCCUGUAAGCGGGGGAUAACCCGGAGAAAUUCGGACUAAUACCGCAUAAUAUCAUUGAUUCGCACGUUUCAAUGAUUAAAAAUUUAUUGCUUACAGAUGGGCAUGCGUAUGAUUAGUUAGUUGGCGGGGUAACGGCCCACCAAGGCGACGAUCAUUCGGGGUUCUGAGAGGAAGGUCCCCCACAUUGGAACUGAGACACGGGCCAAACUCCUACGGGAGGCAUCAGUGAGGAAGAUUGGUAAAUGGACGGGAGUCUGAACCAGCCGUGUCGCGUGCAGGAUGACUGUCUUAUGCAUUGUAAACUUCUUUUAUAUGGGGAUAAAGUGUGAGACUUGUCUCAUUUUGCAUGUACCAUAUGAAUAAGCAUCCGCUGAGUCCGUGCCAGCCGCCGCCGUGAUAC